GGUGCCGAGCGUUUUGCAGCCUGGGAGACCCGGGCUUCUCUCCCCAUGGGUCAGCAGCGCACCGCCUCCACACCCCAGCCCGCCCUCCUAGGGACAGGUGCGACGAACGGGCCUCUGGCUCUGAGUGUGGCAACAACACUGGAUGGCCGUACAAGGAUCCCUGACCUGCCAUGGAUGCAGAUGGAACCACUGGGAUGGUGACACGGGCUCAGCCUUGGACUCCAGACAUUAAAUCCGCCCAAGAGAGGAUCAGCAUAGACUUGCCAGCAGCAGGAGACAGCGUCUACAGGGUCUGGAGCAAUCAUGACUCACUACCUUUGACCUCCUGGGCUCAAUCGAUCCUCCAGCCUCA